GAUGAACGCUGGCGGCGUGCCUAAUACAUGCAAGUCGAGCGAAUGGAUUGAGAGCUUGCUCUUAUGAAGUUAGCGGCGGACGGGUGAGUAACACGUGGGUAACCUGCCCAUAAGACUGGGAUAACUCCGGGAAACCGGGGCUAAUACCGGAUAGCAUUUUGAACCGCAUGGUUCGAAAUUGAAAGGCGGCUUCGGCUGUCACUUAUGGAUGGACCCGCGUCGCAUUAGCUAGUUGGUGAGGUAACGGCUCACCAAGGCAACGAUGCGUAGCCGACCUGAGAGGGGGAUCGGCCACACUGGGACUGCGACACGGCCCAGACUCCUACGGGAGGCAGCAGUAGGGAAUCUGCCGAAAUGGACGAAAGUCUGACGGAGCAACGCCGCGUGAGUGAUGAAGGUUUUCGGGUCGUAAAACUCUGUUGUUAGGGAAGAACAAGUGCUAGUUGAAUAAGCUGGCACCUUGACGGUACCUAACCAGAAAGCCACGGCUAACUACGUGCCAGCCGCCGCCGUAA
rnacentral:rRNA from 1 species